rnacentral:rRNA from 1 species
GACGAACGCUGGCGGCGUGCUUAACACAUGCCAGUCGAACGGAAAGGCCCUGCUUGCCGGGUACUCGAGUGGCGAACGGGUGAGUAACACGUGGGUGAUCUGCCCUGCACUUCGGGAUAAGCCUGGGAAACUGGGUCUAAUACCGGAUAGGAGCCAUUUUUAGUGUGAUGGUUGGAAAGUUUUUUCGGUGUAGGAUGAGCUCGCGGCCUAUCAGCUUGUUGGUGGGGUAAUGGCCUACCAAGGCGGCGACGGGUAGCCGGCCUGAGAGGGUGGACGGCCACAUUGGGACUGAGAUACGGCCCAGACGCCUACGGGAGGCAGCAGUGGGGAAUAUUGCACAAUGGGCGCAAGCCUGAUGCAGCGACGCCGCGUGGGGGAUGACGGCCUUCGGGUUGUAAACUCCGUUCGCUAGGGACGAAGCUUUUUGUGACGGUACCUAGAUAAGAAGCACCGGCUAACUACGUG